GCUUAGUCUUGAAAAUUCAGGGGCUGCUUGCUAGGGAAUAGAUGGAUGGUUGGGGGUGGGGUGAUGGCUGGGAGCGGAGACAUACCCGGAGGUUACCCCGGAGAGCCACCUGUUUGAGAUGUUGCCAUCAGAGUGUCUUGUCCAAGAGGGGCCAUGUCAGGCCAUGAAGCCAGAGCAAGCCAGAACUUCCCAGCUUGUUCGCCUCCCAGGAGUGACUCAGUGAAGACCUGAAGGCUCCCCUGACAGAUUGUCAUUCUCUCGCCUCUCUGCGCCCCUCCGCUGUUUAUUACAGGAAACUGCAUCUCCCAGGUUCCCUUGCUGACUGGCUUCCAGAUAAUUUUGCCCAACAGGAGAAGUUAAUGGAAGACUUGAGGCUUGCAGGAGGGGAGAAUAGAGGCAUUUCUCCCCUCCUCUUCUGCAUUAGGGGCACUUUCAGCAGUGGCUGUGUCUCCACUCUGUUUCCACCUCUCAAGAGGACAGCCCUUACGUGGCUCCAGUUCCUGCAGGCAAGCCUUCCCCCGCAUGUGGCCAGCUCCCACAGGCAGCCCCUGCUCCCGUCGGGCUUCUGCCCGCCAGGACUAGCACUGACUCUGAACUUUCCCUCCUCAGUGGGCGGGGGGGGGGGGGGGGAGGAAGAGGCUUCCUGUUGUUGCU